rnacentral:lncRNA from 1 species
GUACCAGUACCAUGUGGUUUUUAAUCACUUUCACUCUGUAGUAGAGCUUGAGGUGAGAUACAGUGAUUCUCCCAGAAGUUCUCAUAUAGUUGAGACCUGUUUUGCCUAUCCUGGGAUUUUUGUCAUUCCAAAUGAAUUUGAGAAUUUCUCUUUUCCUGUUUUUCUGUGUUUCUAUAAGGACUUAGUGUUCCCUAUUAAAGGGCUUCUACCAGUUCUGCGUUUUCCUGUAUUUCCUUAAGGGAGCUGUUUAUGUACUUCUUAAAGGUCUCUA